rnacentral:misc_RNA from 1 species
AAUUUGGAACAUAAAGUGCACGUGGGCAAAGGAUGCGGAGGCAAUGGAACACGAAAUCAAUAAUCAUUAUAUUAGUCUGUACUGGAUUUGCACUAUGGGUUAUCUUUCGGGAACACGAUGUAGAUCGAAGAACCAAUCAAAAAAGAGAGAGCGUGAAAUUCAUAGACCUUAUUCAUAUUCCAAACACUAAGCUUCAAAAAUAUCUGUUGCAACCAUAUGGAAAAAUUCAAAAUAUAGAAAACAAAGACAGACAUUAUUCGCAGGUCAAACAGGAUGAAGUCGUUUACGAAAUCCUUCAAAAGAAAGGAGGUUUUUUUCUUGACAUUGGUGCACAUGAUGGACAGUUUAUGUCCAAUACUCUUUGGUUGGAAAGACAACACGACUGGACUGGACUUUUGAUAGAAGCGAACCCUGAACUUUGCAAAAGUAUCGAUAAAUUAAAACGAAAUGCAUGGCGUUUGUGUGCUUGUCUAUCCAAUACUCAAGACAGUGUUUCUUUUAUCAAAGGUGGUGGUGUUGGUGGCAUCGCUGACAACAUUGAUGAGCACCACAUGAAAAUGUUAGAUCGAAAAAACAAAAUCACCGUUCCAUGUUUUGCUUUGGAACAAAUCUUGAAAACGAUUGGCGUCAAUCAUAUUGAUUUUUAUUCUCUAGAUGUUGAAGGGGCAGAAAUGGUAAUUUUGAAUUCCAUGAAAUCUGGUCUUAAAGAUGGAGUGUAUACAGUAGACGUGUGGGCUAUUGAGUACAGAGUAUGGGAUGGUAAACAGAUUGUUGUUGAGAAAUCCAAAGAAAACUUGAAUGCGUUAAGAAAAUAUUUCCAUGAACUCGGAGGCUACUUCGAACACUCGCAGUUGUCUACCGAUAGUAAUAACAAAGACGGGUACGCUCUUGACGUUGUAUUUGUUCGUACAAGCCAAUGGUGUAGUACAAGAGAAAAAUUUCCAAAUGGAACCAACUGUCUAAGAAAGGAUAAAACAUCGCUCAUUAAGGAUUAUCUUCUUCCUCCUCACCCCUAUCAAGAAGUAAAAGACGCAGACAAGAGAUAUUCCCAAGCCAAUCAGGAUCAAGUCGUUUACGACAUAGUUCAGAAAGAAAGCGGGUUCUUUGUAGAUAUAGGAGCUCACGAUGGACAGUUCCUAUCGAACUCACUGUGGCUAGAAAGGCAACACAUGUGGACAGGACUUCUUAUCGAGGCUAACCCGGAUUUAUGUCGGAAGAUCGAUAAACUAAAACGGCAUGCAUGGAGACUUUGCGCAUGCCUUUCCAGUACUUUAGAAAAGAUGUUGAAGGAGCAGAGAUGGCGGUACUUGAGUCUCUAAGAGAUGGACUCAAAUCACACCGCUUUACGGUGGAUGUGUGGUCGAUUGAGUAUCGCGUGUGGGACGGAAAACAAGUUGUUUAUGAAAAUUCCUUGGAAAAUUUGAACUCUCUGAGGCGGUACUUUAAGGAAAUUGGAGGCUAUAGUGAAUAUUCCCAACUGUCUAACGAUAAAAACAUCAAUGAUGGCUAUGCAUUAGAUGUGGUGUUUGUACGAAAUGAAAUGUAUUGUAAAAGGCAUGAUGAAUUACCAGACGGCACUGCAUGCACAUUUUAAAUUAACUCACAUAACGAAUGGAGGAGGUCAUAUUUUUGACACUUUUGCGUUUGGAAGUGAUUAAACCUUAUAUGGAUAGGGAUAUACCGUCCAUUGUCAUUUUUCAUCUAUUUAUGGUUUUCUUUACUCUUACAUAUCAAGUCAAAUAUUUCUUUCGGGUGUAGUUAAUGAAAACAAAUUCUUUUGCAUAAUGACUGAAAUGAUAUAUGCGUUUGAUUUAAAAAUAUAUUGUACUGAACAUAAUUUGCAACUGAUAUUGGCAGAAGUUUUGUAACUAAGAUUGCCCAAAUAUUGGACGAGUUGAAAUUGAAAAACGUAGACAAGUGAUAUUCCGUAGAUAAUAAGGAUCAGGUCGUAUACGACAUCGAUUGGAAAGCAUGCGUGUUUUGUGGAAAUAGGAGCUCAUGAUGGACUAGAAAGGCAACUUAUGGGGACAGGACUUCUUAUUGAGGCCAUCUAAGGAUUUUAGUCAAAAGACCUACUCUAUAUAGUAAACUGAAACCUCACGCAUGGAUGGGGGAUCGAAUGUACACAAGGCGUUACGUUGAGAAGAAUAUCACAACAAUUUUAAACAAGGAUAACAAAAUUACCCUCCCUUGUUUAAGUUUGGAAAGCGCGUUGAGUGGUAUGAACAUCUAUUAUUUUGAUUUCUAUUCUCUAGAUGUUGAAGGAGCAGAGAGUAAAGGGAAUUUCACCGUUAUACGGUGAAUAUGUGGUGGAUUGAAUAUCUUGUGCUGAAUAGUGAAUAAUAAAAAUGAUGUUUAUGAAAAGUACUUGAAAAGAUUAAUCUCCCUGAAAAGGCACUUCAAGGAAAUAAGUUGCAAAUAUUUACAACUGUUUAACGAUGGAAACACCAAUGCUGGCUAUGUACUAGACGUGGUAUAUACAAAACUAUUAGCCAAUGUGCAGGAAUCCAGAGACAAUCAGUCCAUUGAAGUCAACAGCAUGUAUUACAUUGUGAUCGAUCAAAAGUUCUCUACAUUAAAAUGUACAGAUACACGCAAUUACGCCAGAUUUCCAAAUGUGUCGUUCGUUUAAUGUAAAAUACUAUUCUAAAAUAACUUUCUUUUUCAUCAGUUUUUUGGAUGAUUCAUUCAAAAUAUGUUCUCGUGGAUAAAAGAAGCCCAAAAU